rnacentral:rRNA from 1 species
UACGUAGGGUGCGAGCGUUAAUCGGAAUUACUGGGCGUAAAGGGUGCGCAGGCGGUUUUGUAAGCCAGAUGUGAAAUCCCCGGGCUCAACCUGGGAACUGCAUUUGUGACUGCAAGGCUAGAGUACGGUAGAGGGGGAUGGAAUUCCGCGUGUAGCAGUGAAAUGCGUAGAUAUGCGGAGGAACACCGAUGGCGAAGGCAAUCCCC